ACUCCUACGGGAGGCAGCAGUAGGGAAUCUUCCACAAUGGGCGCAAGCCUGAUGGAGCAACACCGCGUGAGUGAAGAAGGGUUUCGGCUCGUAAAGCUCUGUUGUUAAAGAAGAACACGUAUGAGAGUAACUGUUCAUACGUUGACGGUAUUUAACCAGAAAGUCACGGCUAACUACGUGCCAGCAGCCGCGGUAAUACGUAGGUGGCAAGCGUUAUCCGGAUUUAUUGGGCGUAAAGAGAGUGCAGGCGGUUUUCUAAGUCUGAUGUGAAAGCCUUCGGCUUAACCGGAGAAGUGCAUCGGAAACUGGAUAACUUGAGUGCAGAAGAGGGUAGUGGAACUCCAUGUGUAGCGGUGGAAUGCGUAGAUAUAUGGAAGAACACCAGUGGCGAAGGCGGCUACCUGGUCUGCAACUGACGCUGAGACUCGAAAGCAUGGGUAGCGAACAGGAUUAGAUACCCUGGUAGGCUACCC
rnacentral:rRNA from 1 species